ACCUGAGGAGAGGUAAGAAAGGGAAGGAUAGAAAGGGUAAAAUACAAAAACAAAGAUUCAAUUAUGUCAAAAAUACAUUGCCAGUGUGUAUCAGUUUAGAGAGGAUAUGACAGAUCAAUUAAUCUUAGUCUAUACACAGUCACCUGUCUCUAUCAUGCUCUUCUUGAUCAUCUCUGUUUGGUUUUUGUCUCCUUAGGUGACAUGGGUAGUGAGCAUUGAUAUAAUUGGCCUUCUGAUUUGGAUCAAAUUCUGACUGCACUGGAAGCAAAGUUGGAUCAGUGUGUUUGUUUGUAAAAAAAAAAAACUAUGUAUGUAUGCUCAAACAAAUCCCUGCUCUGUCAUAUUUUCUUCUGUGUUAUCUCUGAAAGUUGGCAUGAGCUUUGUAUGCUUAGGUUUAUAGCUUCUAGAUAUUAUCUAAGGCAGCUCCCUACAGGGCAUCCUAUAAAAUAAACAGAGAUAAAUUGCCUUCCAGGUUGUUAAAGGAAAAUGAAAACUCUACACGAAGCUAUAAAGACAACUUUCCCUAGUAUACGGAUGCUUCCAUAUGAUCUAACAAGCUCCUCUACAACACCAAUUUGCAAAUAGAGAGCUCAAGGAGUAGAGGAUGUGUGAAUAACGCAUUGAGGCUCUCAUUGGUGUGGUGUUAAAUUGGUUGAUACCCACCAUUGUUGUAGUUCACAGCGUACGUUCCUAUCUAGGUAGCUUGUUUAUAGGCAUGUACCACUAAAUCAAGAAAACACUAGAUGUGCAUUAGAUUUAAAAAAAAAAAAAAAAGUUUUAUCCUCUGACAAUUAUUUUUCAAUUGUAAUCUUUAAAUAUUGUUACCUCCAAUCACAGCAGAAUCGCUUCUGACCGCAUUGGUGAGAGGCUCCCUUUCAUCCGUCUUCCCGAAAGGAUCUGCAGUUGGUUAAGCAGAACAAGAUUUAUUUUUCUAUUGACUAUUUUAAUUUUUACUGUGGCUCAGACAGAAGUGUCCUCGUCCUCUUGUGAAUUGUAACCUUUAUUCAAAAGAUGUAAUUUGGGGUACUGGAAAAUCAAACCAGGAAGGUCUCUAAGCUUGCAGGACAAAUUUUUCCUACAUCUUCACUGUUAAGGAUGUAUUUAAGAGGAAACAGAAAAGCUUACAACUAACAUCUGAAAGUGUUUCCUCGGUUUAUCUGUAGAGAAAUCACAGAUAGAAAUCUGAGCUAAAUAGCCUGUUGGGAGCUCUAUUCAGUCACAGCUCUUUUUCUAUUUUUUUAAGUACCUGAGAUACCAGAAAGAAGCAAAAGACAGGAAGGCUGUAGCUCUGACCUACAUUUGUAGAUGAAGAUACAAGGUUUAAUUUGACUUGUAUAAAAAGAAUCAGUCUCUGCCUGGGACAGCUCUUUGGGAGAGGUCUUUUUCUCCACUGCAGAAAUGCAAUGGUCAAAUUAAAUUCAAUGCAGAGAGAUAUCAGUAAUGAAUUUCAACAUGAAAAGUUCCUAGAUGUUGUAGCUCUUCUACCUUUUCUAUAAAUGACUACAGGGCCAAAAUGUCUACAUGCUUAGUUACAGCAGUGUAGCUGCUUUUGUCCCAUUUCAGAAAACUGAUUUUUUCUGUUAGUUGAAUCCAGCUUUUCUUGCAUCUUCACAAGCAACUAUUCUGUAGUUGUGUAUCAGGAGGUGAUGACAUGUACAUACAUGUCAGGAUUCCCUACGCCUGCAACUCAGUCGCAACUCACUCAUUGUUUGAGCUAAAGCACAAAAGCAAUGAUUUGAAUGCCUUCGGAACACCCAUUAUCACUAUGAAUGUAACUGCUAAUUUUGACAGAUUUGGACACCUAUUUAUAUUUCCCUUAUUUGGAUCUUGGGUGCCUGCAGCGAUGUUGCCAAGCAACAAACAGUCACGGUAAAGUUUCAUCUUAUUUACUCUGUUUGUGGGACUGGAACAGGGUUAAAAAAAUGUUGUUUUACACAUAAAUGCAGGUGAAGUGUAUUCUGAGUUCUCAGGUGUCUCCUGACAAGAAAAAUUAACAUCUGUUGAAUGCCAGUCCUACUGUACUAAAGUAAAAUCUCUCCUUAAGUUUGGGGUUACAGUCAUAACUAUUCUUUUUCCUUCUUCUCAGGUUACUGAACUCUACCAUCUCAUAGAUCCCAUGGGCAAGGUAGCCUCUGGCAAACCUGUUGUUCCUCUUUGUUUGGGAAUGGCAGGUCCAGCUCAAACGUGGCAAAAUAGGGACUUGUGUUGUCCUAACUGCUAGUCAGAAACAAAAAUAUUUCUGUUUUUGGCAUUUACUUGACCUGCAUGAAGACCUGGGCUGGCCCAGGGUGGUGAUGGAGUCACUCACGCUGGAAGUGUUCAAGAACGUACCUGAAGAAGAAUAUAUUGUGGUUGCUGUGUUCACAUCAGCUUCCAUUAGAGAUGAACAGCUGGAUUCAGUCAAGGAACCCUUGACAGUCACAGGAGCAAUGCUGGGAUGGCGCAGAGCAGCUUUCAGGGGAGCAAUGUGGUUAUACCAAACAGAGGACAUGCAGCCAGUGAAACCAUAAGCAUUUGCCUUUGAGACUUCAGGGUCCAGUGAUAAACUAUCUGCAACACAACAGGAAAAUGGUCUGGGGAUUGUCAGUUUUAAGAAGAUGCAUUUAAAAAAAUGGAGAAAGCACAUUGUGGAUGUUAAUCACUACAAUAAUAGCAAUAAAAAGAAUAAUAAUAAACAGUAAAAAAAAAAAAAUCAACGUUGAACAUCACAGAAUCUGUGAGAUGAUCCUCUUCAACUUCUGGGUAACACAGUAACAGCACCUUCACAGAUGCAUCUUUAAGGAUCUGUGUCCAUGAUGUCAUGGAGCCAGAGGGAACAAGGCAAGAAAGAUGUAUUAAGUUUGAAAUAUAAUGUGGAAGAAUGUGGCUCUAUCUCAGCUAAGCAAGGUAUGGUGUAAGCUUUGUCUUACAGGGAGAAGCUCAGUUUGAACUUUUACUAAACGGUGAAGUGAGAGACAGAGGCUGCUGGAAUUUAGAAUAAAGGGGGGCUAAAGGGGGAUAGUUAAAGGUAGUUUGUAGAUUGGAAAAGGAAUGUAGAAGUUAAAAUAACAAGGAUCGGAGACUGUGGGUCUGGGGGAGCAGGAAGGAUUCGGAUAAGGAGUGAGAACUCCUUGAGACAUCUGGCAAGGAGGGGUUUAGAUGUUUUAAUAUCCGAAGAGGAGUUGCAUCUCCCUGAUAAGAUGGGUGAUAACAAGAGAGGGGUCUGCAUGCUAAACAACUAUUGAAUAUGGAUCUGAAUUCCAGGAAAUCAUUGACUGUGUAUUAGGUUUACCCAUAUCUGUGUCAUGAUUUUACAAGUCAGGGUGCAAGUUUGGUGGAGACAUCCCCCCUUGCACCCAGUGGUGCGCAACACUGAAAUAAACAUACGUGCUUUAUAACCAAUCUCUGGAUUAUAGAGUUUGAUUCUGUAAGUUAUCACUGCCAGGAGAGUUAGGUGGACAACCUCUGGGGUGCAAACAACUGAACAGCUGCCAGAGAGAUGUGAAGAUAAGCAGUAAGAUUUUAACAUUAAAAAACCCUGCAGCCUUACAUAAAUUCACAUUUGUUUUUGUGUAGGAAAAUAUAGGGAAAUAUUGUAUUCAGGUUUCUAAUGAGAUUUUGGCAGAGGUCUUAUAAAACAAACAGAGUCAUUUCCAAGUUUCUGCACAAAGGUUUAUAUAAAAUAAAAAGUUCAGUUUGCAGUAUUUGUCACCUUUCUUGAAUCUGCAAAAUCUUUUGUAAACAUUUGUACUCUCAGCAUUUCCUUUCUUAUUAACUUUGACUCAAAAGGUGGAUUUGUUGGUAUCUUUCAGGUGUCAGGCAAACUAAAUUGUUCUGUUCUGCCCCAAUGUGUAAAAGGUAAAACCUACAAGAUAAUGAAUUCUUUUUUCAUGGUACAGUAGCUUGAAAAGUCUAAGAGCACUGUUGAAGGCUUUUUUUAAAGUCAAAUUAAGGGCCAGUUCCCAUCCUCUGUUGUCAAAGUAAGCUUUGCAUGAAUGAGAGCGAGAAGAAUUGUUGUUGUAAAGCUGUGAAAUUUGGAAGAGAAGAAAAGGAGUGAAAGAACAAACUGGAAACAACCCCAGAGCUUUCUAGUAAAAAUUCCAUGUACGCAGGUAUGGGUUUCUAAGACUUGAGGUGCACGCUCUGUCUUUCAAAUAGCAGGUCUGUCACUGAACUCAGCAAGAGACUGCUACACCUUGGAUGUGAAUGAUGUGUGUUACGCCCUAUGAAUCCUUGUGAGAAUAAUGUAAGUCUGAGCUUAUAACAGGAUGUAGCUGUGUUAAGUUGAAUGACCUGUGUGCAGGGGAGCUUUUUUGGAAUUUUACUGUUCGUUAUCCAUAUUUUCAUUAGUAAAAAAAGGUAAGCUUCUUAUUUAUGAAGGUGAUGCUAUUGAGCAAGAAACAGGGGACCAGAUAUUCAAUGUACUUGAGAAAUAGUUCUGAAACAGCAAAGGAUGGUGAGAACAAAGUAAAAGUACUUUUUCUCUUCAGUUAGCCCAGGAACAGGCACAACAUUUCACGUUUUGCUUGCUAGCAAAUGAACAUUUAAUGCUAAGAGGUAGACAGGAGAUUUUUGUUUCAUUAGGCUUAGCAGAAAUAAUUUCAGGCAUAUAAUCGGUGUGUUUUCUAUAAGACAGCUUGUCAUUGAAAAUAAAACUGUGCUUUGAAUUGCAAUGUGAAAUUUGUGACGUCAAAUUUUUAGAUGCUUGAAUCUUAAUCUGUCACAGCAUUGCCAGCCAUGUGAAGUUCUGCAUGAGCUCAAAGUGUAAUCUAUAAGAAGAAAAUAUGCCAAAAAAAAAAGAAAGCCACCUACAGACAAUGUUCAAAAGAAUACAUGCCCUUCUAACAAGCAGAUAGCUAAGAUCAAUCUAAGCAGCAAGAAUACACUCCAAUAAAUGAAAUUUUUACAGAGAAGUAGAUAACCUUUGACAGUUAUUUAGACAAUAUCAUUAAAGAAUUAGACAUUUAAAUGUGUGGUAUUAGUAUCCAUAAUUUUGAAUGGAUUUUCUCUUUGUAAUGUGGACAUGAUAGCAUUAUUGGCUCAGAAUGUGGACUGUGUGAAGUGCUUGUGCUAGUAGAGCUUUGUAUUUUAUGUAAUGUCAGCUAGCUCCUAAAUGUCUCUUCCAAGUAGCCGCUUUGAUUUUCUGUAAGACCUUACCAGGUUACUAGGAAGAAAAAAAUUUAGACCUCUACCACAAACAUGAGAUUUUUUUUUUUUUUUCAAAGCUAAAGUUAUCCCAUGAAGUAUGUAUUCAGGGGGGAAAGACUGCAGUAAGGAAAAAAGCCUUGCAGUGAUGGUAGAAGUCCAGAUGAUAGUUGUUGUGGCUGCUUCUGUGUUGAUGAAAUGUUUGAGAAAUAUAUAUUAUUUACUGAAACCAGUAUGGGUUAGUAAUUAAAGGCUUUGCACAGCUGGGGGUUGUGAGAAGCUGGAGAAUUGUUGGAAGCCUGUCCAAGGGAACCCAUGGACAUGACCUGCCCAAGAAGUGAAUGGUGGAUUACCAUGAGCACAGUGGAGAAAGGACAGAAGCUCAGUUCUUCCUGAUGGAGGAAAAAAAAGUAGGUGGGUACCCCAACAGGUAACAUCAUGGUGAUGGACAGGAACUGAUGCAUCUGAUAACUGCGGGAGAUGAGUCUGGAGGAAGAGCGGGCAUGCCCUCUGCCAAAAUGCAACUAUGUAAGACUAGGAGACAUCAGUAGAUUCUAUGGUGGUGUGUAUAAUUGCUCUGUAAUCUGUGUGAUAGAGUGUCUUUCUUUACUAUUGCUAACUUAAUGAUUUUCCCCACUGUAGCUGUAAUGCAGAUUAUGCUGUGAUUAAAAGGUUAAAAUUUAGGAAUUGUUGGAGGAGCUGUACAGGGGUUAAGAAAUGGUUAAUAAUCAUGAAAAAUAUUAAAGUACGGAGAAUAGCUCAAUAAAUACUGUUGAAAAAGUAUCUCUAUAGCUCAUAAAUCAUGUAGAUGGGUCUGGAGUGUGAGAGGGCAAGAGAUUCCAUGUACCUCUAUAAACUAGACACGUUACACAUAUGUUUAUGUGUAUCUAUCUGAGAUCAGAAGAUUACAUAAUAAUCUAUGUUGAUUGACACCUGUCAAAAUUGAUUGAUACCUUUUAAAGUUGAUCAACACCUUUGAGGGUCAUGAACUUCUCUCCAUUGUUUAAAGCACAGCCUGCCUCCUUAGGUCAAAUUGCCAACAGUGCUCAUGUGGUGAUGCACACCAGGAUGUUCUCUGCUUGCACCGCUAAAAGUAUGUGAACUGGGACUCUCGUUAAGAUUUCACAUAGGCUUUACCAAAAACUGUAAGACCCACUUGUGGUCUGGAACCAGUACUCACUGAAGUCCAGGGAACGACUUCCAUCAAUAGCAAUGGGCUUUGGAUAAGACCUUUUGUGUCUUUGCUCUAUAUAUGUGAAGAAAGUGUCAAUGACCAUGGGAUAAUAGUAUUUCUGUAUUGCUACUGGAUACUGUGAGGAAGAUUUCAACAAAUAGCCAUUGGUUAUUUGAAUGCUGCUUCUUUUUACUCAGUUGUCUUCAAAGCCACAUUUAUAUUUAGAUUGAUCUUUCUAAGGAAGCUAUAUGGCCCUGUUACUGUGGAUCUGAACAGCUCACAACCUUUUAUGCUCUUAUCCUCACAGCAUCCCUCUGAUGUAGGAAUGUUCUAUUAUCCAGGCUUUACUGAUAGAGAACAGAGAUACUAUAGCAUGGAUUGAUUCCACAGAGAAUAAAAUGCCUACUUACCUUUGUAACAGCACAUAAAUGGCUUGCCCAAGGUCAUUCAAGCCAUCUGUGGCACACUGAGCGUCCCUAUAUUCUGAAUUCCAGGUGAUCCCCCUCUGUCUUUAACUGAGGGCUUUUUCCUGCAAUUCUGAGCUGGGUGUAGCAUAGCCAUUCAAAACCAUUUCAAAGACAGGAAAAAGUAUCAGUGUGUAAAGCUUUGGACUAAAAGAAGUCAAAAGUGGCUGAAGGGGCUGGAAAUCAAUAACUGGACAUCGCAUAAACCUGUGCUUUUCAAGAGUUCCAGCUGUGCUCAGCAUGGUAAUAAUAUGAAAAUCUAUUGAGGAAGAGAUCUUAAUCUUGUGAUAUCACAGAAUCACAGUACAGCUGUGGUUGGAAGACAUCUCAAAGAUCAUCAUACUCCAAAUGCCCCUGCUGUGGACAGACCUGCCACCCACCAGAUCAGGCUGCCCAGAGAAGCCCCAUUCAACCUGGCUUUGAAUGCUUCCCAAGGACUGAUAAAAACUAUAAAGGUCUCUCCAGAUGGUGUCCCUUCCUUCUUCUGUGUCAACUGCACUGCUCAGGUUGGUGUCAUCGGCAAACUUGCUGAGUGCACUCAAUCCCCCUGUCAAAUGUCACUGAAGAGUGCCAGUCCCAAGACGGAGCCUCGGGGGAUACCACUUGUCAUUGGUCUCCACCAGCCUUCUCUGUUGACUGUAACGCUCUGGCUGUGGUUAUCCAACCUACUCUUCUUAGCCCAGACUUCAAAUGCAUAUUUAAUCAAUUAAGCAAUAAGGAUGUGAUACAGGACCAUGUGAAAGGCUUUACACAAGUCCUGGUACAUGAUAACUAUUGCCUUUACUUUGUCCAUUGGUGAUGUCAUUCCAGAAGCUCUUACAGAUUUCUCAGCCAGUUGAAAAUGAACAGUGGUGUCAAGAAAGACAUUAAUUUAUAAAGUGUAGGUUAAGGAACCACAAUCAAACUUGGAGCAAAGAAUGUGCAGUCUUGGCAGGAUACAAGACAGAAUUUCAGACAACUAUAGUGCAAAUAAGUAGAAUACAGCUUUUCUGUAUGGUUAUAUUACAAAGAUUACUUGGCACCUAAAUUAAAAAUAAGCACUACAAGAAGUAAGUCAAGUCUGGAUCUCCUGCCUCUAUGAGUUGAUGCUGUUGCUGAGAACUUGAUGAACAAUAACAAGGAAGAAGUUGGCUGAAGAAUAUUGGCUUAGGUCAACCGUAUUCACCUUUCAGUGAACCAUCAUUAGAAAAAGCUAUGUUUUAAAAUUUUACCCGUUUAAAAGUAGAAAUAAAUUAUGAUUGGACACAUGUAUAUAAAUUCUACAUUCCCAAAAUGACAAAGUGUGGCCAGGUUCCAAUUUCAAUAAGAUUGAAGACGACACAAAACAGGGUUGAUAGAUGAGAUUGUUGUGUCACCCUUCAGAGGAACCUUGACAAGAUGGAAAAAUAGGCACAAAAGGAAGUUCAAUGAAGAAAAUACAAAAAGGCCUAUAUUUAUGUUAGGAAUUACCUCAUCCACCAAUACUGAUUGAAAACCAGCUUUGUAAAGAAAGAUCUGGGGGACAAUAAGCUGACAACAAGACAGCAGCAUGCCCUCGCAGCCAAGGUGGCCCAUUUUCUCCUGGCAUCCAGAGCUGUCUUGCGAAAAGCAAUGCCAGCAGACAGAUGAUGUUCUUCCCUUUGUACCCUGCAUGAGUUUUGUGCAACUGGAGCACGGGGUCCAGUUCUAGGCCUCCCAGCAGAAGACAGGCACAGAUUUACUAUAGCAAGCCCAGCAAAGGCUCACAAAGAUUAUUAAAGGACAUGAGCAUUCUUCAUAUGAGAAAAGGUGGGGAGAGCUGGGCCUCUUCAACCUGGGGAAGACUUAGAGAAGACUGUGACAUGCAAUUCAGGGAGGGAGUAAAGACUCUUCUUAGCACAGAUGCCAGAUUUAACUCGGCAGAUGAAUUCCUGACAGAAAAGUCUGAGGAAGUUCAUUUAAUAUAUGAAAAAGAAACCAGAUCUAGGAUUAGGCUGAAAUUAAAUUGACUUCCUGGGAUUGUGUGAUUCUUGGUACAGCAAUAAGAUCUCCAAUCAGCUGGAUGAGCGAGUUUAUGGCUUUAGUGUCAUUACAGAAAAUUAUUGCUACCUUAUUAAUACUAAUAGAAAAUAUCUAGAAACUUUGGAGAAAAGAGGGAAAAAAAAAAAAAAAAAAAAAAAAAAAAA